AAAGUCUGAUGGAGCAACGCCGCGUGAGUGAUGAAGGUUUUCGGAUCGUAAAACUCUGUUGUAAGGGAAGAACCAGUAUGUCAGGCAAUGGACGUACCUUGACGGUACCUUAUUAGAAAGCCACGGCUAACUACGUGCCAGCAGCCGCGGUAAUACGUAGGGCGCAAGCGUUGUCCGGAAUUAUUGGGCGUAAAGAGCUCGUAGGCGGUUAGUCGCGUCUGCUGUGAAAACUCGAGGCUCAACCUCGGGCUUGCAGUGGGUACGGGCUGACUAGAGUGCGGUAGGGGUGACUGGAAUUCCUGGUGUAGCGGUGGAAUGCGCAGAUAUCAGGAGGAACACCGAUGGCGAAGGCAGGUCACUGGGCCGCAACUGACGCUGAGGAGCGAAAGCAUGGGGAGCGAACA
rnacentral:rRNA from 1 species